AAUUUACCGCUGAGGAGCAAGAAGCUGUCCAAAAGGUUUUACGGCAGAAGCUUGGCUCCUCAUUCAUCAGCCAGAGAAGUGGAGCGGGAGAGGCCAGCGUAUUGCAUACAUUGAAGGAUGGCGACUUAUAUCCCUUGCAAAUGAAGUCUUUGGCUUUAAUGGAUGGAGUCAUUCUGUCACAAAUCAAACCAUUGAUUUUGUGGACCACUAUAACAGUCGUUAUUAUGUGGGAAUCAGCGCUAGGGUACGUGUUCAGUUAAAAGAUGGAGUUUACCAUGAAGACAUUGGUUAUGGUGUUUCAGAAGGCAUGAGAGUAAGGCCUUGUCCAUUGAGAAAGCAAGAAAGGAGGCUGUAACAGAUGGUUUGAAGCGAGCUUUGAAGAGUUUUGGAAAUGCACUAGGAAACUGUCUGAGUAAUAAGGAUUAUCUUCGGUUUAUAGGAAAAGCACCAGCUGCUCCAGUUCCUCAGAUUACAUCUGGAGAUUUGUUAAAUGAAGUU